GACGAACGCUGGCGGCGUGCUUAACACAUGCAAGUGGAGCGACGAACCAGGGCUUGCCCUGGGGCAGAGCCGCGAACGGGUGAGUAACACGUGGGUUACCUGCCUCGAUGACCGGGACAACCCGAGGAAACUCGGGCUAAUACCGGAUGUGCCCGCAAGGGGAAAGGAAGCUUCGGCCUCCGCAUCGAGAUGGGCCCGCGGCCCAUUAGCUUGUUGGUGAGGUAACGGCUCACCAAGGGUUCGAUGGGUAGCUGGUCUGAGAGGACGAUCAGCCACACUGGGACUGAGACACGGCCCAGACUCCUACGGGAGGCAGCAGUGGGGAAUCUUGCGCAAUGCGCGAAAGCGUGACGCAGCAACGCCGCGUGGGGGAAGAAGGCUUUCGGGUUGUAAACCCCUUUCAGUUGGGACGAAGCUUCGGCGGUUAAUAGCCGUUCGGAGUGACGGUACCUUCACAAGAAGCACCGGCUAACUACGUGCCAGCAGCCGCAGUAAUAC
rnacentral:rRNA from 1 species